rnacentral:lncRNA from 1 species
GAUGAGGGAAGUUACCUUUUCCAGGAGCUCAGUGCAACCUGUAGAUCUAUGCCAAAGUCAAAGAACUACCAUUCGGUGCCAUCUCUCUUAUACUCCUCCUGCUUAGAAUGAACAUGUGGUGACUGAAGAACUGCUGCAGUUCUCGUUGGUGAAGUUGAUACACAUCUGCUUGAAGCUGUUGAACUGCAGAGAAGAACAGGCUGGUUGUGUAAGGCAUUUGCUGACCUGCCUUUGAGAUGUGUCCCUCAGCUCUAAACAGAAAAACUCAGCUGCUGGUGGCAGGAAAUAAACUGCAGGGAAAUCCCACCUGGCUGAGGAUCCCUCAGGCUGCUCUACAGCCCUCUUCUCUCAAGGAUCUCCAUGCUUUCUGCAAAUACCAUGAUUGUUCCUCCCACUGAUAUUUAUUUUGGUUUCCAGACCACCUGCGAGCCCCCAGAGCAGUGUGUGAGGGUAAAUUCACAGCAGCCACAGAUCAGUAUCACCCUCUGUUUUAUGAAUGGAGAAAAAAAAAAUGCAGGGAGUUCAUCUGAAGCAUUGACAAGGCAGAGUGAAACAGAGAACUCAGAUGUCCAGGCACUUUGCCAUCUGCUUUAAACAAAUGAGAGACAGGCAAAGAAAAGGGGCUUGGACAUGAGCUGUCACUGAAGGAUUUAAGUCAUACCUGUGCUCCCCGCAAUUUACAGCAGCAGUUCAAUAGGAGCCUGCAACAGAAGGAUCAAGCGCUGUCAAGUCAGAGACAGAAGCCUCAGUGACGACAGCCCCAAGCAAUGCGUCGUGCCAGCCUUGUGAGUCAUGCUGUCUGCGCAGGUGUUGGAGGAGUCAGUCUGGGGUGAGGUUUCCUUUUGCAAAAGGACUGCUCCGAAUAGCUGUUGUAGCUGUACAACCUCAUGCGAUGGAGCCAGGACUAUGCCUGCAUCAUCUAACCCCGCUGCAGAGAAACUACACAUUGGCGUCUUUCCUGACCAGUACCUUUCACUGCACACGGUGACGGUAAGCCUAUUAAGGAGACGUGAAGAAACAGAGGAGGGAAGAACAGUGCUUUUAUCUCAAAGCUUAAAACUGAUGUUUUCAAAUCUGCCACCAGUCACAGUCAAACUAAUCCACAGUGUCAUGGUGGGAGUGCUUGACAAAGGGUUACAGGGUGAGAAAGAGCAACAACAAAGAAAACCUCUGAACUGGAACUGCAGCUUUUCAUACCUGUCAAGAUGUGGAUUUUCAGCCUGAGCACACAAGGCUGAGCUCAGGGGACACUUUCAUAUAGAUUUAGGGUUUUAUUGCCUUUCCUCUCCAUUAGCUGUGAUACCCUCUUAUUAUGCUGGAAACCGAAACAUUUUUUCCUCCAGCUGUUGUCCCCUUUCCCAUUCGGCAAAUAUUGAUCUGCCCGUGUCCUCAACGCAGGUUGAGAUCAGAUUGCUCAUCUUGUGCCUGCUCGUGGGUCGAGCACUCGGCAGUGCCGCUUCUCAUGCCAUCAGUGAUUGAAGCAAUGUGCAGGGAGAGGGUUGUUAAUCAAUUUGCACGUGUUUUCUCUCCAUGUUCUCUCUCUCUGCGUGCUGGCAGUGACAGAGCCCUGAACAGGAUGGGUCUGAUUGCACCUGGCGGGCGGAAGGGAAAUGGAAAGGGCAGAAAGAGAAAGAGCAGCCCAGGAUAACAAUAAACUUCUCGCAGCCUUGUUACA